AGGAUGAACGCUGGCGGCGUGCCUAAAACAUGCAAGUCAUACGGGCUACCUUCGGGUAGCCAGUGGCAAACGGGUGAGUAACACGUGGGAACGCGCCUUGGGGUGGGGAAUAACGCUGAGAAAUCAGUGCUAAUACCGCAUACGGUCUAACGACUAAAGCAGCAAUGCGCCCCGAGAGCGGCCCGCGACCGAUUAGCUAGUUGGUGGGGUAAUGGCCUACCAAGGCGGUGAUCGGUAGCUGGUCUGAGAGGAUGGUCAGCCACACUGGGACUGCGAACGGCCCAGACUCCUACGGGAGGCAGCAGUUAGGAAUUUUCGGCAAUGGACGAAAGUCUGACCGAGCGACGCCGCGUGGAGGAUGACGCCUUUCGGGGUGUAAACUCCUUUUCUGCGGGAAGAUAAUGACGGUACCGCAGGAAUAAGCACCGGCUAACUACGCGCCAGCAGCCGC
rnacentral:rRNA from 1 species